AUGCAUCGUCUACGCCAACAUGAGCGUUAUAGAACAGUGGGAAUGGUACAAGCAGGUAUGCGUCAUAUUGACGUCGCAAACAACUUUGGUGUUUCUAAAUUGACAAUAACAAGAUUAAUGAGUCGUCUAAGACAGACUAGGUACUCAAAUGGCAGACGUCGUAGUGGACGUCCAAGAGAAACGACGUUACACCAAGACCGUCGAAAAAGAUUCACUCAUCUCAGGGAUCGGCUUCUACCAGCUACAAUCACCGCUAGACAAACACCUGGAAGGCAUAAUCAAAGGAUAUCCGCCAAAACUGUACGUAAUAGGCUAAGAGAGGCUGGUUUACGUUCACGACGUCCAGUAGUAGGAGCCAUUCUAAAACAGCGUCAUGCAUUUGCACGUCUACGUUGUGCAAAUGCACGUUUGUAUUGGAACCGUGUCAGGUGGCAAAACGUCAUUUUUAGGGAUACCGACGUCAAAAUGAACGAUAUGCAGACGCUUGUUUGCAUGAAUGUGAUCGCUUUGGUGGUGUUGUGAUGGUUUGGGCAGGAAUCACGCAUUGUGGACGCACUGACUUGCCGUUCAUUAACGGAAGCCUUAUUGGAGUUCGUUAUCGUGAUGAAAUUCUCUCUUCAAUUGUACAACCAUUCAUUGCAAGGCAUGGAAAUCGGCAUACUUUCCAACAGGACAAUGCUAUGUGCCACGUGGCACGUGUAUGCACACAAUAUCUUGAACAGAAUAACAUUGACAUCCUUCCAUGGCCAGCUUUAUCGCCAGAUCUAUCACUCAUUGAACAUUUAUGGGAUGAACUUGACAAACGUGUUCGCAGACGUCAUCAGCUACCAGAGUCAGUCAACUAG
rnacentral:sRNA from 1 species